rnacentral:rRNA from 1 species
GACGAACGCUGGCGGCGUGCUUAACACAUGCAAGUCGAACGGAAAGGCCCCUUUGGGGGUACUCGAGUGGCGAACGGGUGAGUAACACGUGAGUAACCUGCCCUUGACUUCGGGAUAACUUCAGGAAACUGGGGCUAAUACCGGAUAGGAAUCCUUGCUGCAUGGUGGGGGUUGGAAAGCUUCGGCGGUUUUGGAUGGACUCGCGGCUUAUCAGCUUGUUGGUGGGGUAGUGGCUUACCAAGGCUUUGACGGGUAGCCGGCCUGAGAGGGCGACCGGCCACAUUGGGACUGAGAUACGGCCCAGACUCCUACGGGAGGCAGCAGUGGGGAAGAUUGCACCAUGGGCGGAAGCCUGAGGCAGCAACGCCGCGUGCGGGAUGACGGCCUUCGGGUUGUAAACCGCUUUCAGCAGGGGCGAAGCUUGUGGUGACGGUACCUGCAGAAGAAGCACCGGCUAACUACGUG